GUGAGAUGGAGUGAUGGAAAAGUGAAAGAGUUGGAGAGCAGAGGUAGAACAAGCAAUGGCUUUGGCGGUGCAGCCGAAGGAUAGACUGAGCAGGAAAAGUGUGAGGACGAACUUCUGCUGCUAACACUUACUCACCACUAGAUGCCGCCAAGAUCCUCUGGUGUGGAGGGUAGCAGGUGUUUCUCCUUUCAUUCAACCUGGAGGAGUAUAAGAAGGUGGAGCUGUCAGCACUCCAGUGCCUGAGUGUUAACCUCUGUGGAAACCUCAAGUCCUGGUCUCAUGUCCCUGCGACCAUCUGCUCUGGCUCUAAGUACUCAUUGUGGAUCCUGCCUCAGCCUAAGAAUUGAAGCCUCAGAAGAAACCCAUUUUGGUUCAAGCUCAAGCUGACAGCUCAAUACCAACUCCGCCAGGCAAGUGAACCCUGCUCACCCUCCACCAAUUGUUCACCAAAAAAACCUCACCAGGUAACCUUUUCUCAGUAAAAUUGAUCUGGAUUAUUCAACUGCCAAAUACUCACCCAAAGCCUCAGCAGAGUACUCACCGUCAUCCUGGAUUACUCACCGUUUCCGCAGCAGCGUCUGUUCAGUCCUCCCAGGCUCCGCAUCAUUCUUCCACUCCAACCACCUUUCAUCAAACAUGCUUUGCCUCGAGUCCCGGUUCCAGUUCAACAUCCAUUACCUGUCAAAAUAAACUUGUUAAACUUGUCUCCUGCCUCCUGAGUGUCAUUCUGCAUGUAGGUCAAAUCUGUAAAGAAAACCAUGACAGAACACUCAGGCCAAUCUGACCCAGCAGAGACACUCAGGAGGACUUUAGCCGAACACAGCCUCCAGAUAUAAUCACACGGAUCCACACUUCAGACCCUCCUGGAACAACAACGACAUUCAAGUCAACAGCUAGAUCAGAUGGCUUCACUCCUGCAACACGCCCUGAACAUCCGGAUGUCCCAGACACCAGAGGGAGCCGCCGAGUCAACAGUUUCUCCUCCAGUCUCACAACAACUUCCGUACUCCCGUGACGUAACCUCCCCAAACCCGGAAAAGUUCUCCGGUGAGAUCAGUAGUUGUGGAGGAUUUUUGUUACAGUGUUCAUUGGUGUUUAACCAUUCCCCACAGUCUUUUCCCCAUGAUGAUGCUAAGAUAGCAUUCAUUUUAGGGCUGUUAACUGGUAAAGCGCUUCGUCACCAACUCCUCAGUAUCUACCCGGACAGAAGGUUUGGCUAUCCUCCAAAGACAUCCCUUUGAAAUCCAUGUCCAGAAAAUUGUCACCCAUGACAGAAAGUAAAUUUGACUCUGCUACUGGAAGGUUUAAUAGAAUGACAAAAUUGUUUGUUCACUUAUUGUCGGGGCUGGAGUUUCUGUUGUAUGUAUUUGUCUGUGUUUUUUGA